GAGAGAGAGGGAGAGAGGGGUUAUAGUGUUUCAUGUAGAGAGAGAGAGGCGGUGGCGGAGACACGGCGGUGGCCUUCUUCCUCAACUCGCUAGGGUUCCGGCACUGUGUUCAGAUCCCCCCGGCACUGUCUUCAGAUCACCCACUGUGUUCAGAUCCUCAACUCGCUAGGGUUCCGGCAAACUGAAGCAGUCCUAGAAACUCAGAAGAAUGCGAAGAUUGAGGGAGUGGAAGACACCCCUAAUGGUAAUUUACUGAUUUUGAAUCACUUAUAUGAUGUCGAUGUGUGUCUGCAUGUUGAAUUCGGUUGUCCUUUGUUGGUAAGCGGAUUUGGCAUGUCUUUCUUUUUAUUUUGGUUCAUCCUUUUUUGUUGCGUGUGGUGUUUAACUGAUUUGGCAUUAGACUUUGUGAAUUGAUGAGUACAGAGGAGAUGAAUUUGGUUCAA